rnacentral:rRNA from 1 species
UACGAAGGGGGCUAGCGUUGUUCGGAUUUACUGGGCGUAAAGCGCACGUAGGCGGAUUGUUAAGUCGGGGGUGAAAUCCUGGAGCUCAACUUCAGAAUUGCCUUCGAUACUGGCUUUCUAGAGGCUGGAAGAGGUUAGUGGAAUUCCCAGUGUAGAGGUGAAAUUCGUAGAUAUUGGGAAGAACACCAGUGGCGAAGGCGGCUAACUGGUCCAGAUCUGACGCUGAGGAGCGAAAGCGUGGGGAGCAAACAGG